CUUCAUAUCUUCCUUCCCUCAAUGUGCUUUGUUAAAAUUGUGAUGAGGUUCAAUAUGUCUUUACAACUUGUUUUAGAUUGUGUUUUGGUUAUCUACUGCUGCAUAAUAAGCCACCCCAAAAUUAUUAUGCUCACAAAUUCUAUAGAUAAGGAAUUCUAACAGAGCACAGUGGGGAUGGCUUGUCUGUUACAGGAUGUCUGGGCGUUGCAGCUGGGAAUAUUUGAACAACUGGGGAUAACUUUAAAGAGCAGAACAGAGAGAGCAGGAUCUCAUGUCUCUUCUUACAAGGGCACUAGUCCUGUUCAUAAGGAAUCUAUUCUCGUGACCUAUUUACCUCCCAAGGGCCCCACCUCCUAACAGGAUCAUAUUAGGGGUUAGGAUUUUAACAUAUGAGUUGGGAGGGGGACAUGUUCAGUCUAUAACAUAUGUGUUGGCUUAGAGCUCUAAGAGCAAAUAUUCCAGAAAACAAGGCUAAAGCUGCAUGGAUCUUUAUAAUUCGCCUCCAUAAUCCUCUAGGCUGAUAGAGUCACAAACUCACUUACAUUCAAGGAGGGGGGGUAUAGACUCCACAUUUCAGUGGGAAGUAUAUCAGUGGAUUUGUCUGAUUAUCCAAUAUUCAUUAGGUCUGUUCACUAUGUAGAGAAGUGAAAUCUUAAAGAUUAAGCCAAAGAUAUGGUUAAUAAUGUGGAUAAUUUGCUUUUUAAAUAAUGAAUUAAAAAUAAUUUUUUAAUUGCUCAACAAAAAGACUGCCAUAAAUGAUGGGUAGUAUUUCUCAACCUGUAUUUCUUGUAUAGAGAUCUAGAGCCAUCUUACAAAAUAAACAAAAAUUCUUAUUUCCAAGUAA